rnacentral:rRNA from 1 species
AUGGAGGCCCUCACCGCCGGGGCCGAUGUGUCCAUGAUUGGGCAGUUUGGUGUUGGCUUCUACUCCCCCUACCUUGUUGCUGAGAGGGUCGUCGUCACCAUGAAGCACAACAACGACGGACAGUACGUGUGGGAGUCCCAGGCCGGUAGCUCCUUCACCGUCACUCGUGAUACGUUUGGGGAGCAGCUCGGCAGGGGUACCAAGAUGGUCCUCUACCUCAAGGACGACUAG